GGCCACGUGGCGAAGUUGGUUAACGCGGCGGUCUGCAAAACCGCUAUUCGCGGGUCCGAUCCCCGCCGUGGCCUCCA
rnacentral:tRNA from 1 species